GCCCCCCGGUGCUGGCAGGGCACCUGGCCGGGCUGCUGGCAGCGGGACCCGCCUGUGCCGACGCUUACCGGGGCCUCUCGGACUGCGUCCUCAAGCUGGGGGACAGCAUGGCCACGUACGAGGAGGAGGAGGGCACCGAGCUGCAGGGGCUGCGCCGAGUCUGCAGGUACUGGGAUGAAUUCCACACCUGUGCCCUGACAGUGCUCUGGGAGUGCCAGAAGGAAGCAGCAGCCGUCUGGGAGAUGCUGAGAAGGGAGUCCCGAAAAACCAAAUUUCAAGGCAGUUUGUUCGACCUCUGCAGCCCCAGCACGACCCAAAGCUUUGCCUGGACCCGCGUUCCCAACAUUUCCAUCCUCAGCAUCCCCCUCAUCGUCACUUGGCUGAACUUAUAAACUGCAGCUCUGUGAGUAUCCCAACAAAAGUGAUGGCAGUGUGUGGUGUGGCAUCUUUCAGAUCUAUUUUCCAAACCUUUGAGGAAUACACUGUGUGGAGCUCAAAAAGUCCCGGCUCCAUUCUGCGGCUGUGAGACGUGGAAGAGCUCGGCAACAUCUCCAGGGUGUUGAAAUUUCUCUGUAAUUGGAAUAAUUCCUGUCCCCUUCUGCCUCAAGGCACAGACACAGAUCUGGCUGUCAGGAGAUAUGGGAACUUGUAAACACAGGGCACAGAAUUUGGGGAGAAAUGAUAAAUUCUGGAAAAAGGAUAAAUGCUGGACACUUCUUCACUCUUCUAUGGCAACUGGAAGGAAACACAUUUCAUUUGCUGACUCUUUCCACCAGAUCAACUCUCCGGGGUUUUGAUUUGGGCACUCAAAACAAGAUGGGUAUUUUCCCACUGCUCCAUGAGGUGCAGGGGAUGGUGGCUGAAGGGAGACCUUACUGCCCUGUACUGGUCUUUUUUCUUUGAGGACAUGGUAAAACCCCUGCUGAACAAUAAUCACAGUUGCAUGACUUCUCUUGCACACAUCUGAAUUCCUGAGUAACUUCUGUGUUAUGUGUAAAUCCCUUUCCUAAGGGCAGAGGUGAAAAGUAUUUGGGAGAAGAGGGAGUAUCAAGCUAGGAGGACAAAAGGGAUUUAUAGCAAUUCUUCUGCUUUAAAGCUUUCCCUGAGGUAUCUGUAAGCAGCUGUGGGUAGAAGUGUGUAAUUCCAGAGUAUUAAAGCUUGUUGUAGAGCCAACAGCAUGGCAGAAGUUAUUUGUCCUGGGUCUUGCUCGACAGCACAGACUCCUCUUGUCUCCUUUGUGGCUCAGAGUGUUGUCAGUUUUGCAGCUUCAGUUCAAGCAUAGAAGUAUUUGGAAAAGAGAGGGGUUUGCAAGUGAUUUCUGAGUAUGUUGGAGAAACACAGUAUUAUUGGUUAGCCCAAGGCAGUCUGUGUUUUAAGAAUACUGCUGGAUCUCUGUGUCCUGCCUGUCUGCAUGGGGCCAUGGGGUGUGUGCUCACAGUGUGAGCAGGGAAACCAGGGCCCUGCCAACUGCACACAUCCCACCAGAUGCAUUCCAGGCAGCAGGCGAGCUUCUACAGCAAAGGAUCUUUUUCCUAACAGCGGUGUUGGGUCAUGCUGCUUUCCUCUGGCAUUCACGUGUUCUUCCUCUUACCUUCACUAUCCCUCAACAUUCUGUUCCUGCAGCAGCAGCAGGAGAUAAUGAAGAAAUUGAGGCAAAUUCCAAGAAAUAAGCCAGGACAGAGCAGCUGGUGUUCAGACAGCACUUCAGUGCAGGAGUUGUUACUUAUGUAUUCAGUACUCAGCAUCUGGGGCACAAAGCCUUAGGGUGAGCAGUGGAGAAAGGAUAAAUCAGAGCAUGGUAAAACCUGGAGUGAACCACUCAGAUGUUUCAUUUUUUUCUUCUUACUCCACGCCAACAGCACUGUUUGCUGUUUGAUCCUAUUACCCCCUUCCCUGUUACUUCUUGUGGCUGGGGAAAGCCAUGUACAACCAUGACUGGAGUAUUUUGGCUCCAAAUGCUGUACCUGUUUUUUGUUUAGAACAGCUGUUUAAUGCCUUUAGGAAAAGAAGUAAGCACAUCCUCCUAAAAUCCCACAACCCUUGCUUUCUCUUUGAAUUUGGCAAUUCCUCUCUUAAAAUUUUCUGUGUUGAAACUGUUUUGGGGAAAGGGAAGGUAAAAGUAUUAGAUCUGCAAGUAAUCUUUUUCCAAAGCCAUGGAUGCAUAUGGCUGACUGCCACUGUCUCUGAGAAGAGCAGGUCUUGGGACAUAUCUUCCCUGGAAGCAAAUCCCUCAAGUAUUGCACACUAAAAAAAAAAACCCAAAGAUUCAUUAAGAAACAAAGACCAUCUGCCACUGUUCUGGCGUGGAGCAGCAGAUUUUUUUUUUUUUAAGCCAAAGGUGCUUCUAAAUCUGACUGAAAGCAUGUGAGAGAAAACUAGGUCUCACAGUAUGGGAGUGAUGAGUUUCCUCAAUCAGUAUGUCAUUUUUAGCAGAACUUCCUCUAUGACUAGGACAAUUACAGUAGAAGUCCUUUAAAAAAAAAAAAAGAAAAAGAAAAGUACUACACAGAUUCAUUUCUCCUAGGCAGUCAGCAGCCUUUCAGAAAGAUUUCUGAUCCUACAGCACACUUCAUGCUGAUGUACUGCAGCUCCUGGGAUGUCCUGCAGCCUCAGUGUUAAAGCCCCAUUUGUCAAGGAUUCUUCUCAUGGCCUUGCUGUGAGUUUCUCCAGAUACAAAGCCGUCCCCAGAUUUCACCCCCCCAGGGAAGCUGCUGAAGCGGUUACAGCGUAUUUUGUGUAUUCAAAAAGAAAUGGGUUAAAUGUUCCUUGUUCCUUAGUCCAAAGUCUUCACCUUUUUUCUUGCAGGGGAACAAAAGUGGCAGCUCUGUUCAUACAGACUCACAGCAACUCUGGGAGCAGCUGGAAAAUGUGGCUUUGUCUCCUUGCUCUCAAAUUCACUGUAAUUAAUCUUUAGCUCCCACUUGGCUCAAGAACAGCCCCGAACACAGGAGCUCACACCACACUUUGGUAUGGUAUUAAGCCUUGAAGUAAACCUGCUAUCUUUCCCUGUCCCUGCAGGACUGGGAUGUUCUUUCUCAAGAAUAGCACCAAGAAGCAGCAGAGGACAAAAUGACCCUGAAGGAGUCUUAAAACAUGACUAACAGCAUGCCAGUGCUUGUCACCCCGAGGCAGCACUGCCCUCUGCUCCCUGCCCUGAUCCCAACCACACACACACUCCCCGCUCCUUUCUGAGGGAGACACUGGCACCUACUGGAGACCAGUUUAUAUCCAGGCAGAGGUGACUGGGAGAAAGACAAGUAUCCUUGUAUGUGAAAAAUAAGUAGAUUCUGAGAAGGGAUGGCCAGUCUUGCUGCAAGGGCAGCCCUCCAGGCUGGCUCCUGCCCAGAGAAAUACUUGUGUAAACUCUUCCCUCUGAAAGGCUGCUGCUGUUUGAAACUCUGCUUACAGGGGCUUUGGUCAGGAAGAACUCCUGGUGAAAUCCCCCAAUAUAAAAGGUGCUGGUUACAUUUGCUUAGACAGAAAUCCUCCUCUGGAGACCUGCUGAGUAUCUAAAGCAGCAGGAUGUCAUCCUGCCCCAAUUUACAAUGUUUGAAUGUGAGAAGAGGGAUUGAAAUACAGCUCAGCUCCCCAGUACCAAAAGCCAAAAGAGCAGCUUCAGAGUUUUAUCAGUCUCAAACCAUCCCACCACUUUUCAACAAACUGAAUUAGCAAACAAUUUAUGCAAAUUAAAACUUAUAAAUAUUAACAUACAAAGGGACGUUACUGCAGCAAGAUGCUGCACAGGAGAAAAAUCUGUUUCUAUACCUGGCUUUGCCCUCGUUUGGGAUUGCACAACAUGGCAAUGUCCCUCAGUGGAAACCAGGCAGGAUGUGGGGCUGCUUGCUUGGGCUGUUGGAUCUGGAGGAACUGCCCAGCUCUGGACCUUCAGCAAUAAAGGGAUGUCCCUGCUUGGUGAAGUUUAUUUGAAGGGCCUCUGAAUAGUUGAGAAAUAACAGCAGUCUCUUAUUUAACACCACCUGUACCAGGCCAGAUCUGUUGCUGGACUGCUGAAGCCUGACUGGAAAGCCAGUCCAAAGGGGAAGAACAUCAUGGCUCCAGGACACUUUUGCAGGUUUCCCCAGGGCAGCUCCAGGCUCAGGCUGGACAUGUAGAGAUCCUGGACUGCUGAUACUCCCUCUGAAGUGGAGUAAUGCCAGCUGACUUCCCAAGACAGUACUCAAUGAUGCCUUCCUUUCAGAGCAGAGGUAUGAAAUGUUUAUUGUAGGAAAUUUCAUGUGUCCCAGACAGGGGCACCUCACAGCCAAGUGUUCUCUGGCUGCAUCCUUCUGUUGCCAUGAUACAGACACUUGUGGUACUUCUUGAAGUGUUCAGUUUCCCAGGAGAGCCGUAACACUCACAGCAGCAUUAUAUUUUUAUUAUUACAAAAGAUUUCUUCAGCAAACUGCUGUCUGUCACCUCUAUGUAUCAAACAUGGAAACAGCAAACAAACCCAUCUAACAUUACAGGUUAUUUAGUGUCUCAGCUGGUGAUUCAGGUAAGUACAACUAUUUUCUUUCUCCCCAUCCAUUCACUUCCUUGACUCUUUUCCCAAGCAAAGCCCAAACAAGUCACAGAUUGGAAGCAGCAGCUCCCAGCCCCACUGCUCACUGUGCCAGCUCUGGCAAGAAGAGCUGACCACUGUGUUACCCAUUCAGGGUAUUCCCACAUCGUUAAAUUCCAAAUGCUCCUCACGCACCAAGUUUUGCUACCUGGCUUUUCACAGUCUCAUGAGUGAAGAGUUAAGGGUACACUCUCCAUACAGUCAUAUUAAUUCUUUGUGUUAACAAAAUAAACAUCUGCUCCUCCCCCGUUGUCAGCUGAUGCCAGAGGAGAUGCUCACACUCAUGCAGUCACCGAGGUCCAAAAAAAAAAAAAA